rnacentral:tRNA from 1 species
GGUGGCUCAGUGGUAGAGUACUUGCCUUGCAUGCAUGAGGCCCUAGGUUCGAUUCCCUAGCACCA